rnacentral:rRNA from 1 species
UGGGGAAUAUUGGACAAUGGGGGCAACCCUGAUCCAGCAAUGCCGCGUGUGUGAAGAAGGUCUUCGGAUCGUAAAGCACUUUCGACAGGGACGAUGAUGACGGUACCUGUAGAAGAAGCCCCGGCUAACUUCGUGCCAGCAGCCGCGGUAAUACGAAGGGGGCUAGCGUUGCUCGGAAUUACUGGGCGUAAAGGGCGCGUAGGCGGCUCUGUUAGUCAGGCGUGAAAUUCCUGGGCUUAACCUGGGGACUGCGCUUGAUACUGCGGAGCUCGAGGCCGAGAGAGGGUGGUGGAAUUCCCAGUGUAGAGGUGAAAUUCGUAGAUAUUGGGAAGAACACCGGUGGCGAAGGCGACCACCUGGCUCGGUACUGACGCUGAGGCGCGACAGCGUGGGGAGCAAACA